GGAAAUGGCAGAGCACGUGCAUUUCAUCAUUUAGGUUUGGUUUCUCUCACACUCUCUCUCAAGAAUUACAGAGCUGUACAGAGUGCUUUCUGCUUGGAAUGCUCCCAAUUUCAAAGUCCUUACCAAAAGAGAACAAGAAAAAGAUCUGGUAAAAAGGAUCCAGGAACAAACAUUCAUAUUGGUGAUGGAGAAAAGUAGAUUCCAACAAGCCAGGACCCAGGGAAAAGUAGCAUUACCUGGGAUGGGAGAGCCGGGCUCCGUCUCACCAGGAGUCCUGACCUGUCUUCAAGAAAUGAACACUGCUUAAGAUCAAACUGGGACCUCCCCAUGCACAAACAUACAAAUAAAC
rnacentral:lncRNA from 1 species